GACGAACGCUGGCGGCGUGCUUAACACAUGCAAGUCGAACGGACAGGCCCUGCUGUUGCUGGGUGCACGAGUGGCGAACGGGUGAGUAACACGUGAUUAACCUUCCCUUGCCUUUCGGGUAACUUCAGGUAACUGUGGCUAAUACCGGAUAGGAGCUCCUGCUGCUUGGUGUUGGUUGGAAAUUUUCGGCGGGUUGGUAUGGACUCGCGGCUUAUGAGCCUGUUGGUGUGGUAGUUGCUAGCCGAGGCGAUGACGGGUAGCCGGCCUGAGAGGGUGACCGGCCACAGUGGGACUGAGGUAGGGGCCAGAGGGCUACGGGGGGCAGCGGUGGGGAAUAUUGCGCGAUGGGCGGAAGCCUGAUGCAGCGACGCCGGGUGCGGGAUGACGGUCGUCGGGUUGUAAACCGCGUUCGCCUGGGACGAAGAGUGUGUGACGGUAAUGGGUAAAGAAGCACCGGCUAACUACGUG
rnacentral:rRNA from 1 species